rnacentral:rRNA from 1 species
CAGUCGCCGCGGUAAAACGGAGGGUGCAAGCGUUAAUCGGAAUUACUGGGCGUAAAGCGCACGCAGGCGGUUUGUUAAGUCAGAUGUGAAAUCCCCGAGCUUAACUUGGGAACCGCAUUUGAAACUGGCAAGCUAGAGUCUUGUAGAGGGGGGUAGAAUUCCAGGUGUAGCGGUGAAAUGCGUAGAGAUCUGGAGGAAUACCGGUGGCGAAGGCGGCCCCCUGGACAAAGACUGACGCUCAGGUGCGAAAGCGUGGGGAGCAAACAGGAUUAGAUACCCCUGUAGUCCCUGUCUCUUAUAC